UAGCCAUGUUGUGAACAUGAAUUUAUGAGAUCCUUAAAUCGCUCCCAACAUUCAAAGGUCUCAUCCUCUUUUUGCACAAAAUUCGUAAUUUUUUUCCUUAAGGUA